rnacentral:lncRNA from 1 species
GUUUAUUGGUAAGUUCUUCCAGAUAGGCGCCAAGUUGGCGUUACCAGCACCUGAAGAAAAUCAGAGCGAAUAAAAACAGAAUGAAGAUAAAGAUUAAAGCAAAGGUCAAUUUUUGGCAGAAGUUCCAUGCUGGGGGACUGACAAAAAAGAGGCCAAGGGCUAUGAGGAAGCUUAGAAGGACAUAAAGACUCAUGAAUCCAGGAUGGCAGAUUAAGAGGUUCUCCGAACUUGUUGUCUCCCACUGUCUGAUGUCCGUUGCAUUCCAUCAUGCCUGGUAGUGAGCUUCAGCACUGAGUGAACUGUUCUCUUGAAGAUGCUGGGGGUUCAUCAGUCGUCAGAGGCCGGUAGUGCCUAAGCAGAAGCUGGUUGAAAGUCUAAUUAGAAACUUUCUGCAAUUGGGUUUGGAAGAACAUUAUGCAGAGUAAGAGAGCACAAGAAAAGUACUGAAAAAUAACAGUUAUUGUUUAACCAUAGUGUAUAAUCUUUAAUUUCUUUAAGAUUAUUUGCUCAAACUUACACAUAUAACCAACUUACACAAACCUUUUUUAUCACUUACUUAAACCUUCUUAAUUACUUAAUCACAUAGACUCUCUUAUCCAGAAACACAUUUUCCCUCUAUUAAAUCCAUAUCUAGAACCUCUUAGUUUCUGUUUUUCAUCUGUUAACCUCCUUCUGUUCACACUUUAAAACAAUAUCUGUAAAUUUCUGAAUUUAGGCAGAUUAUUUCAUAGACAUCAACAUUUUAUUAGGGUCUUUUUGAACACCUAGAAAAAC